CAGCGAGGAACGUCCCCCCCCCGCCAUCCCCUACUAGCAGGCCGUCCCCUGCGAAGUCGAGCGGGCCGAACGCGACGCUGGACUUGCACGGAAUCCUCAACAGCAAGAACACGACGAAGGAGGAGGAGUACUCACGGCAAAGGGGAGGUCCGGUGCGAAGCCUGCGGAGCAAGCGCACCGUGAAGAAGGCGGAUGGUGGCACGGAGACCAUCUCUGAGGCAACUCCAUUCUAUGACUGUGAGACCUUU
rnacentral:ribozyme from 2 species